rnacentral:rRNA from 1 species
UAAUACGUAGGGUGCAAGCGUUGUCCGGAAUUAUUGGGCGUAAAGAGCUCGUAGGCGGUUUGUCGCGUCGGCUGUGAAAUCCCGGAGCUCAACUCCGGGCCUGCAGUCGAUACGGGCAGACUUGAGUGUUGCAGGGGAGACUGGAAUUCCUGGUGUAGCGGUGAAAUGCGCAGAUAUCAGGAGGAACACCGGUGGCGAAGGCGGGUCUCUGGGCAACAACUGACGCUGAGGAGCGAAAGCGUGGGGAGCGAACAGGAUUA